AGCUUCCAUCUCUGGCAGCACCGGUUCUGAGGCACUUUAGAGAGUGGAGACCGCCGCUCCUGUGCGGCUAUUCAAAUGGGAGGCGCUCCACCGAAGAGACACAAUCGGCUCUUCUAAACCAUCAUCUGAGGGGGGAAAUUCUUCCCUUCGCUCCUCUGCAGAAACCACGAUCAAAGAGAAAGCAGUUCUUGCGGCUGGUGGCACCAGCUCUCCCUCCCUCCCUCCUUCCCUCCCUCUCUCUCCCUCUCUGUCUCUCUCGGUCCCACAUUCCAGGAAGACCCAAGGAUGCCUUUAUCUUGGGUCGCAGCUGUGCUGAUGCUGUCUGUUCUAAGACAGAGCAAUGGAGACUCAGUCAAGCAAACCAAAGGCAGCGUCCUGAUCUCCCGAGGAGAAUCUGUGGUUGUUAAUUGCACCUAUGAGGCUGUUUCUCCCUAUCUCUUCUGGUACGUGCAGUUCCCCAACCAGCCCCCCAGGCUCUUCCUGAAGGACCUGGGAAGGGAGGACUCGGAUGAAGGGAUCACCAAAGGGUUCAAUGCCACUCAUGACAAAAAGCACAAAUCCUUCCACCUGUGGAAACCAUCCAGCGAACUGAGCGACUCCGCGACCUAUUACUGCGCCCUGAGCGACACAGUGACACGAAGCAGCAGGGAAGUUGAGCAAAAACCUCCCAGGGGCGGUGGCAGGAAUCGCAGGCUCCUAGGAGCGACUUGGGGUGGAAGGAGGAGGAAUGCUGUAGCUCUCGAAAGC